rnacentral:tRNA from 1 species
GCCGAGGUGGCGGAACUGGCAGACGCGCUACGUUCAGGGCGUAGUGGGCGUAAGCUCAUCGGGGUUCAACUCCCCGCCUCGGCA